rnacentral:rRNA from 1 species
UACGUAGGGACCAAGCGUUGUCCGGAUUCAUUGGGCGUAAAGAGCUCGUAGGCGGUUCGAUAAGUCGGGUGUGAAACCUCCAGGCCCAACCUGGAGACGCCACCCGAUACUGUCGUGACUAGAGUCCAGUAGGGGAGCGUGGAAUUCCUGGUGUAGCGGUGAAAUGCGCAGAUAUCAGGAGGAACACCAGCGGCGAAGGCGGCGCUCUGGGCUGGAACUGACGCUGAGGAGCGAAAGCGUGGGGAGCGAACAGG